UACGGGGGGGGCAAGCGUUGUUCGGAAUUACUGGGCGUAAAGGGUUCGUAGGUGGCCUGCUAAGUCACACGUGAAAUCCCUCAGCUUAACUGGGGAACUGCGUGUGAGACUGGCGGGCUUGAGUGCAGGAGAGGAACGCGGAAUUCCAGGUGUAGCGGUGAAAUGCGUAGAGAUGUGGAGGAACACCGAUGGCGAAGGCAGCCCCCUGGGCUAACACUGACGCUCAUGCACGAAAGCGUGGGGAGCAAACAGG
rnacentral:rRNA from 1 species